rnacentral:lncRNA from 1 species
GUGACUUCAAAAAUUGCACUCUAAGAGAUAUUUCAAUGAUUUGGAUAUUUAAAUAUUUAAAAUAAGGACUUUUCUGGAAAAACUGGAAUGGUGGCUACCAUGCUCUUCAAUGACUCACAUUGUACUAGAGUUAUUGAGGAUACAAAUGUGUAGGGCAUGAUAUGUUCCUCCUACUGAGGAAUUUAUAGUAUUGUUAGGAAAAUAGGACUUUCAUAAAGAAAAUGGUUACAGGGAUUUUAAUAAACAACGCUAGAGAAAAUAAAAUCCUACACAAAUUUUCACCAAUAGAAUGUAUAUAGUGUUUCAGAUUCUUACCAAUCAUUUGAAGGGGGAAUUGUUAUUUCCAUUUUAGAGAUGAGGAAAUUAAGCUUGGAGAGGUUAAAUGACAUGCUCAACAUUAACACUGUGCAGGAGGGAUCAAACCCAGGUUCUUUCAGGCUCCAGACCCUCUGUUGUUUCCACUCUGAUGUUGAUCCAUCCUUUCUUUUGUCCCACAGCAGAUCUCACAAAGUGAUGGUGAAAAUUGUUAUUUCUAAUUUAAAACAUAUGCAAGGCUUAUGGGAUUACUGAGUUUUCCUCUAUUUCAAAGUUGUCUUAAAACUGUUAUUUUAUACAUAAAAGAAGAAAAAAUGUGAGAGAUCUCUGGGUGGCUCAGAGGUUUAGUGCCGCCUUCGGCCCAUGGGGUGAUCCUGGAGACCCAGGAUCGAGUUCCACAUCAGGCUCCCUGCAUGGAGCCUGCUUCUCCCUCUGCCUGUGUCUCUACCUCUCUCUCUCUCUCUCUCUCAUGAAUAAAUAAAUAAAAUCUUUAAAAAAAAAGAAAAAGAGAAAAGGUGACACUAAAGAUAGGUUCUAUUACAUUUGAACCACCCAUGCUUUGUUGGCUUUCAUUUAAUUAAAUUGUUUCUCUUCUUUGGCAGGUAAUUAUAUGGAAUUAGCAAGAUGAAUAAAAAUAAAUGGAUUCAUGAUUUCCUGGAAGUAGUUUCAAGGGGCGACAUGGAACUCAUCUGUGACUAUAUUACUAAAGUCCAUUCCAUCCUUGGAAACCUUAACUCACAGCAUUCAAAGACUGGGAAUACACCUCUUAUUACUGCAGCAGAAGAAAAUCUAACAGAGGUUGUUGAAUUUCUUCUGGAAAAGGGAGCAGAUAUCACUCUUUGUAAUUACAGCAAUCAAACUGCAGUUCAUGUGGCUAAUUGUGAUGUGCAUAGACAACUAUUGGCCAUCAGUGAAAUCCAAGCCCCCCAAAUGCAACUUCUACAAAGCUCAUGGCAAGGCGAUCUUGAACAACUUCAACACUUGCUGGUCAGUUAAAUUGAUGUUUGCUUCUGCCUUUGGAUAGGUGGAUGGGUAAAUGGUAAGAAAGGCAUAGACUACAUAUGGCUUCUUUUAAAGAAAAAUAAAUUCAUUUCAAAUGCAGUCCCAGAAAGUUUCAGGAAGAAAAUAGGAGAAAGAAACAGGAUCAAACAGGAUACUGGGGUGGAAAACAGGAUAAUAAAAGAGCACAGCAGCAGUCUAUUUCCACCUUCCUCCAGCUGGAUGCUAUAAGUCACGCAGCACCCACGGGAAAUGAGAUGCUCCCAGAAUGCCCCCAGAGAACUGCUGUCAACUUGCUCAGAGGAGUUCCCUUGACAUCAUUGCCAUUUGUACAAUUGCUGUUUAGAUCCCUUUGGACCAGCUGCACUUAUUAUCUUUAUCCUGAAAAGGGAAUCAGAGAGCCUAUGCUUUGCAGAUUUAGUUGUAGCUAAAGGAGUAAAGAGGACAUGUUUUUUAAAUGCUUUCUUCUUAAGGUAUCCAUCUUCUUGUUUAGAUCUUCUAGCCACAGAAAAGCUUUCCCAAAGUAACUUACAAAACCAUAUGCAUAAAUAAGGACUUUAAUUAUUGGUGACCGGCAACUGUCUACUCUUGGUAUUUACCUUCAGAAAUGCUAUCAGAUCACAUGACCUUCCAACCGAAAGAAAAUCAAUUGCUGCUAGGAAACAGUUUCUUCCAUUCCUUUAUGGUAGAGACACAAACAAAUAAAAGUGAAC